CUUUUUUCCCGGGAACUAAGUGUUAAACAUUUACCAGCACACCACUGCCUAGACUUGUUAGGAAAUUCACAAGUGAGAAGAAAUUCUGUGAUUCCAGGAGAUGAAAGAGGGAAGUGUAAUGAGAAUAUCAACUUGAGUAUUUUAUCCGUUGCUUUCUUUAAUUGGGUCAUUUCAGAGGGUGGGUAGAUUUUGUUAAGACAGUUGAAAUAUUUAGGUAGGUAGAGGGGUGAGUGCAGUUGAAGAGUAAAGGCUGUUUGGGGCAGACAAAAGAAUGAUAGCACUCUUUCAAGUGCUCUGCCACCAGCAGUAAAAGUCGGGAGAAGGACCUAGCACCAGGACACGUGAUCUGUCCGGCGUAAGCGAGUGCUGAGUCAAAGGCCUGCAAUUCAGGCCCCUGCUCUGGGGCACGGUCAGUUUCAGCCAGGCCCAACUCUCUUUCCCAGGUCCAUGGCGUGGAUGGCACCCAGAAUCCAGCAGGGGAGUGCUGGUGGAUACACCUGGGAGGGCCUGGUGGAGGAUCAUUUGCGUGCAGAAAUAAGGAAAUAGACAUAUUUGAGCUGGAAGAAAAUCUUACAUGUCUGAUCCAAUUCUCUCAUUUCACAGAUAAGGAAAAGGGGCCCCAAAGAGUGAAGAGGGGAUGUCCUGAGGUCAUGAGGCUGGCUUACAGCAAGGAUCUGGACCAGACAGCAGGGUGGGACCCUCAGCUGUCCCCAUACUUGCUGCUUGAUAUUGGAUAGGUUAUUUAGGCUCUAUGUGUUUUCUCAUAAACACAUAGAGGUUAGGUAAAAAUGGUGGUGUGAGAAUGAACUAAUACAUGUAAAGAGCUUGCAUGUAGUAAGCUCUCAAUAAAUAUUAAUAAUACUGGGCACAGUGGCUCACACCUGUAAUCCCAGCACUUUGAGAGGCCAAGGCGGGUGGAUCCCUUGAGGUCAGGAGUUUGAGAACGCCCUGACAAACAUGGUGAAACCCCAUCUCUACUAAAAAUACAAAAAAUUAGCCAGGCAUGGUGGUGGGUGCCUGUAAUCCCAGCUGCUCGGGAGGCUGAGGCAAGAGAAUCACUUGAACCUGAGAGGUGGAGGUUGCUUUGAGCCCAGAUCAUGCCACUGCACUCCAGCCUAGGUGACAGAACCAGACUUCAUCUCAAAAAAAAAAAAAUUAAUAAUAUAGAGCCCUUGUGUUGACACUAUUCUCUUUUACAGCCAGAAAGAGAGAAAGAUUACAGAAAAUAAAAAUAUAUUAAUAUAUUAAAGGCAUAAUACUGUGAAUUAAUACUGAUUAAUUCAAUAUACUAUUAUAUCAAAAACCAGGAUACUAAUAAUAAAUAAUAUAUGGAAAACCACCAUACACAUUGGUAAAACAUUAACAUUUUCAAAUCUCCAAUCCAAGAAUUUUCCCCAAAUCCAGAUUGUGCAGGUAUUUUAGUGAAUGAUUCACCCUACAGAAUUACUUAUUACAUUUUUCUUUAAACUUCAAUGGAUUUGUAGCUGAAUGAGGGAUCAGGUAAUCACCAGACAUCUUGGAAGGGCACAUGAUCCCUCAGGCCUUUUCUUGGAGAAUGUUUAAAGAAACCUCUUCCUUCCCAUUAGGGAGGCCGACCAUGAGUCCCUUUGUGUUGACAGUGAAGGUGUCUGGGGCUACACCUCUUUCACAUGCUCUGCCACCAGCAGUAAAAGUCAGAAGGCCCUGGCACAGGGCACACCUGAUCUGUUCGGCAUAAGUGCUGAGUCAAAAGCCUGCAAUUAAGGCCAGUGGCUGGGAGGAGGCCUGGUCCCAGCCUCUCCUUGAUUUGCCUCACCCCACCCAAACACAGGUCAUGUUCAUCAUCUGCUAGCCAGCAAGGAAGAUGUGUGGGGUACAGGUUACAGGGACUGAGCCCGGAGCCUGACUUUCUGGGCUCUACCACUCGUUGUCUUCAUUUCCAAAGGCAAAGCACUUGACCUCUCUGAGCCUCCAUUUCUCAUCCAUAAAAUGGGGAUGAUGAUAAAAGUGACUGCUUCAUAGGAUUGUUGAGAGGAUCAACUCAAGUAAUAUGUGAAAAGUGGCACAUAAUAAGUACUCUGUUUCAUGUUUCUAAUUAAUUUUAUUUUUUUUAGGUUUUUUACUGUGGUAAAAUAUAUGUAACAUAAAAUUUACUAUUUUACUAUUUUUAAGUGUAAGUGGCGUUGAAUACAUUGUGGCAUUGAAUACAUUCACACUGUCAUGCAACCAUCAACACCAUCCACCUCCAGCCUUCUUCGUCAUCCCAAACUGAAACUCUACUCAUUAAACAAUAACUCCUCAUUCCCGCUUCCCCUUAGCCUCUGGGAACCAUUGUUCUUUGCCCAUUUUUAAAUGGAGGUUGUUGCUGGGUUGUGGGAGUUCUUUAUUCUGGAUAUUAAUCCUUUACCAAAUAGAUAAUUUGAUUUUUUUUCCUAUUCUGUGUGUUGCCUUGACUAUGUCCUUUCAUGCACAAAAUAUUUUAAUUUUGAUGAAGUCUAGUUUACCUAUUUUUUCUUGUAUUGCCUGUGUUUUGGUGUUAAUUCCAAGAAAUCAUUGCAAAAUUCAAUGUCAUGAAAUUUUGCCCCUUUCUUCUAAGAGUUUUAUAGUUUUAGCUCUUAUGUUUAGGUCAUUGAUGACUUUGAGUUAAUUUUUGUUUAUGAUGUAAGGUAAUGGUACAACUUCAUCCUUUUGCAUGUGGAUAUCCAGUUUUCCCAGCACUAUUUAUUGAAAAAAAGACUGUCUUUUCUCCAUUGAGUGGUCUUGGCAUCCUAGUUGAAAAUCAUUUGACCCUAUAUAUUAAGGUUUAUUUCUGAUUUCAUUGGUCUAUGAGUCUGUCUUUAUGCCAGGACCACUCUGUUUUGAUUACGGUAGCUUUAUAGCAAGUUUUGAAAUCAGGAAGUGUGAGACCUUCAACUUUGUUCUUCAUUUUUCUGGAUGUUUUGGCUAUUCUGGGCCCCUUGAGAUUUGAGAAAGAGUUCCCUCUACUGGCAGAUCUAAGACAGUCUGUUGACUCAGGUACCUGAUAAUUUUUGAAGAUGCAUUUAAGAAGUUAAACUAUUGAGAAUAAAAAAAUCUUAGCUAGGCUUUAUUUUAUUUUUCUGAUCGGUUAGAGACUCUUGGAGACUUCUCUUUCUUCUCAAUCAAUUUGACUGAGGUAUAAUUAAAAAAAAAUAAAACAUACUGAUAUGGCUUGGCUGUGUCCCCACCCAAAAUCUCAUCUUGAAUUAUAAUCCCCAUAAUCAUCAUAAUCCCCACGUGUCAAGAGAGAGACCAGGUGGAAGUAAUUGAAUCAUGGGGGCAGUUUCCCCGAUGUUGUUCUCGUGAUAGUGAGUGAGUUCUCACGAGAUCUGAUGGUUUAUGUGUUUACUAGUUCUUCCUGCGUUAAUUUUCCUUCCUGCCACCAUGUGAAGAAGGGGUCUUGCUUCCCCUUCGCUUUCUUACACGAUUGAAAGUUUCCUGAGGCCUCCCCAGUCCUGCGGAACUGUGAGUCAAUUAAACCUCUUUCCUUUAUAAAUUACCCAGUCUCGGACAGUUCUUUAUAGCAGUAUGAAAACAGACUAAUGCAUAUACAGACACAUACACCUAAGUAACCAUCACUAUCGCAAUCAGGAUAUCAAAUAUUUCUAUCAACCCAAAAAGUUCCUUUGUGAUUUUUGUAGUCAGUCCCCACUCUUGAUUCCCCAUGCCCCAGGCAACCACAGGUCUGCUCCCCGUCAUAUAGACGAGUGUUGUCUGUGUUCAGAUUUCAAAUACAUGGAAUUGCACAAUAUAUGCUCCUAUGUCUAAAUUUUUUUCACUUAGCAUAAUGUUUUCGAAAUUCAUUCAUGUUGUAUUUAUCAGUAGUUUUUAGCAUUGUAUCGCACUGUGGUAUUUCAUUGUAUAUAUCAUCAUUUGUUUAUCCAUUGACCAGUUGAACAUUUGGGCUAUUUCCAGUUUGGGGCUGUUUUGAAUAAAGGUGCCAAGUUC
rnacentral:lncRNA from 10 species